rnacentral:rRNA from 1 species
AACCUGCCCCAGACUCUGGGAUAACUUCGGGAAACCGGAGCUAAUACCGGAUAUGACACGGAGAUGCAUGUCUACCGUGUGGAAAGUUUUUCGGUCUGGGAUGGGCUCGCGGCCUAUCAGCUUGUUGGUGAGGUAACGGCUCACCAAGGCGACGACGGGUAGCCGGCCUGAGAGGGCGACCGGCCACACUGGGACUGAGACACGGCCCAGACUCCUACGGGAGGCAGCAGUGGGGAAUAUUGCACAAUGGGCGAAAGCCUGAUGCAGCGACGCCGCGUGAAGGAUGACGCCCUUUUGGGUUGUAAAACUCUUUCAACAGGGAAAGAAGCGCAAGUGAACGGUACCUGCAGAAGAAGCACCGGCUAACUACGUGCCAUCAGCCGCGUUAAUACGUAGGGUGCGAGCGUUGUCCGGAAUUUAUUGGGCGUAAAGAGCUUGUAGGCGGUCUGUCGCGU